UGGAAGGGGUUUAGGGACAUCCAGACAAUGGCACGGUAUAUUUAAUAUGUAAUGCAAGCAUCAUGUUUCUUUGAUACUAUUUUGCACUUCACAAGCACCAAGAGAAGAUUAGAGGCAGUCAGUAGUUCAGUAUGCCAAUGCUUAAUUUAUCUUACAUUUUUUGCAAAGAAAUUGGGCCAUUCUCAUGCCCAAGUUGGAAGGGAAAGAAUAUCCCACCUUUCCUGCUUUCCUUCCAGGCAUCCAGUAUUUCAUUUGCUGAUGGCAAAUUAGAUGCAUGAGAAUCAUCAAUUUGAUUUAUGGGUAUUUCAUAUUCCAUCUGAUCAAAAUCUUGGAAAGGUCCAUCUAAAUGAUCAGCAGAUGAACCAGAUGCCACAUCAUUAACAAAAGCCUCCAUGCUUGUAUAGUUGGCUAUUCCAUCUUGGUCAAUACUGGAGCAGUUUUGUGAGCUAGAGAUCUCAUAUCUAUCCUCACCACCCUCUCUGCCAGUACUGUAGUGAUUAACACUGAACUUGCCAUAUGCACCAUCAGUUUUAUUAACAAUCUCAUCGUCUUGCAUCUCUGGAGUUCCAUUUACUGUAUUUGCACAAGAAAUUGGGAUCUCCCUUCUCUCGUCACUGAUCAUUUCCUUACUGUCAAUAUCCAAACCUAAACCAUCUGCGUCUUCAAUGUCCGAAGCAAUGGAUCUUGAUAAGUAUGCUGAUGUGCCACAUUCACAUAGAGAACACAGUGAUCUUGACAAGUUUGCUACUGUAGGCUCUGAUGCCACAUCAGAAUUACCAAGUUUAUGAAGCAGCUUCUCUAAAAAAUCCUUAGUGAUUUUAUCAUCAUUCUUUUGAAAAAGAGCUGUCCACUGCCUUUCACUGAUUUGAAAUGGGGCAUGAGCUAUAGUGUUUAUCAGGAUAAGAGCUCUUUCAUAAUUCUGUUGAGUUGUGGCUUCAUACACCAUUUCAGUGAAUAGGGAACGAUGAGGAAUGUCUCCAGCUUCCAAAGCUGAAUCAAAUGCAUGCUCCAGAAUAUGACCCUUUCCAGCUCUAGAUGCUUUCACAAGUAGUGAUGCAUGCUUGCAUUGAUCUAGUUGAUGCCCAGAGAAGACCAUGUCCUUGUACACAACUUCAAAGUAAUCCCACUGAAGUGCACUAGCAGUUGCCUCGAGCAUUGAGCUAUAUGUGUACUCAUCGGGUACAGGGGAAGUAUCACUGCCACUGGCUCUCUUAAUUUUCUCAAAUAACUCCUUGGCUUCAGAGAACAAAUCAUUCCGGCCAUAGACUUUCAACAUAACAUUUAUGGUCCCUAUGUUAGGGACACAUUGUGUUUUCAUGUAUUCAAAGAUAGAAAUGCAAUCAUUGACAUGUCCACCAUCUAGGGAAGACAUUAUCAUGCCAGUGAAUGUAACCUCCAAAGGUUUCUUAUAACGAAGUUUUUUCAUCUUCUCAACCUCCGGAAUAGCAUCUUGCCACCUCCCAUUGUUGCAAAGGCAGCAAGAUAAUUCAUAAUAUACGCUGGCUGUUCCAACGACUCCUCUUUGUUCCAUAUCUCUCACUACUUCCACUGCUUCAUUGACUUUACCUUCCUCCCAAAAAGCUCUGAUAAGAACUUUAUAUGUAAGUGCUUUCGGAGCUUCUCCACUUCGGUUCAUUUUCCUAAAUAACUCAUGGACAAGGUUGUACUUGCCAGAAUGCAACAUUACCUCCAUAGCUAAUCCAUAUGUAGUUCCAUUGGGCUUAAGACCACUCUUUCUCAACUGCUCAAACACCCAUGACACCCCCUUCCACUGCUGGGACGGAACACAGGCAUUCAGUACAGCAUUAUAAAUAACUAAAUCUGGUUCAAGUAUUGGGUCCCAGUUCUUGAAGUGCAUAUGAUUAAUUCUUUUAGAAGGUUUCUGCCUCAGACAUUCAAUAAUUUUAACCAGCUCUUUGAGAAGGCCAGCUUGACCAAGUGUAACAGCAAUGAUAUGAUAUGCGGCCAUGUCAGGAUAUAUAUUGUAGUCUUCACGCAUCAAAUUAAAAAUGCGAAGUGCUUCUUGGGGCCUUCUUUCCUUCCUGAGCACUGACAAGAGUUUUGUGUAAACAAACCUACAAAAAGAAUUGAUUACUUUCUAUGGUAAAACAUAAAGUUCUAACUAGUUUACAAUGUAAUUACACAAUUCCAAGCACAAAAAAGAAGUAUGCAAUAGACAGUUAAAAAUAAAUUUGACUGCACUAGAUGAUAACCAUAUUGGAAAGAAAUAAUAGAAAAAAGCAUUUGAAGUUGCAUCUUGUACAAUCUAAUGCAUAGUUUCAGAAAAUGCAAUGAAUUGCCCAAAGACAUCUUAGGUCCCGUUUGACAUUGAAUUUCAGGGGCUAAAAAUACUGUUUAGAAAAAUCACCAUUUUUAGAUUUGUUGAAAAAAAAAAGGUGUUUUGUUAUUUUGGUGAUCUUAUAACUAAAACAUCUCAAAUUUAAUUUUAAAUCAAUUUUUAACUAAUAUAUUUAAAAAAAUAUUUUUUUUUUCAAUAGUUAUAACAGAAAUGCCAAAAUAGACCUUACACUGGUAGUAGCUCCUCCAACCUACCUACUAUUUCCCAGGUGAUAACUACAGUUUAAAAUCCUUAUUUUAUCAAGACAAAGCAUAUGAUAUAAAACAUUCUUGCAAACCAUAUGCAAGACCAAUCUUGUUUUAUGUGGGGGCAGAACAGGGUUGUAAAAUCAUAUUACAACAUCCACAACAUUUGUCAAUGAUAAGUCAUGUCACCUGUAAUAUAACAAAAGAUACGGUGAAACGAAAAAUAAAAAAUAAAAAAUGUCACAGUAUUACAGUAAGAAAUUAUCCAAUAAAAGAAAAGCUCAUUUUAUAGUUGUCAAUUAGUAGAACUUCACGACCUUGCAUGGGGGCGUACUGUGUAUAUGAGUCAAUCUACUUGAGUUCGACACCAAAAAUACUCAAAAUCUACUUGAUUAAAAUCCAUUCGAGUUUGAGUAGCCAAAAUGAUUGCCCUGGAGCUAG
rnacentral:misc_RNA from 1 species